rnacentral:rRNA from 1 species
GACGAACGCUGGCGGCGUGCCUAAUACAUGCAAGUCGAACGCAGUGGGGACGGGUGAGUAACAUGUGGGUAACCUCCCAUCAGAGGGGAUAACACUUGGAAACAGGUGCUAAACCGAUACUGAUGGAUGGACUCGCUGUGCAUUAGCUAGUUGGUGAGGUAACGGCUCACCAAGGCCACGCUGCAUAGCCGAGCUGAGAGGGUGUACGGCCACACGAGGACUGAGACACGGCACAGACUCCUACGAGAGUUAGCGGUAGGGAAUCUGCGGCAAUGGAGGAAAGUCUGACCAAGCAACGCGGCGAGGGUGAAUAAGGUUUUCGGAUCGAAAAACUCUGUUGUUAGAGAAGCGGUAUCUAACCAGAAAGCCACGGGUAACUACGUGACAGCAGCCGCGGUAAUAG